UNGACUGUAAUGGUGCUUGCUGAAUAUGGU
rnacentral:piRNA from 1 species